rnacentral:rRNA from 1 species
GAUGAACGCUAGCUACAGGCUUAACACAUGCAAGUCGAGGGACCGGCGGACGGGUGAGUAACACGUAUCCAACCUGCCCUUUACUCGGGGAUAGUCUUUCGAAAGAAAGAUAAAUACACGAUGUAAAGGAUGGGGAUGCGUUCCUUUAGGUUGUUGGUGAGGUAACGGCUCACCAAGCAUUCGAUGGAUAGGGGUUCUGAGAGGAAGGUCCCCCACAUUGGAACUGAGACACGGUCCAAACGCCUACGGGAGGCAGCAGUGAGGAAUAUUGGUCAAUGGGCGUUAGCCUGAACCAGCCAAGUAGCGUGAAGGAUGAAGGCUUAUGGGUCGUAAACUUCUUUUAUAUAAGAAUAUGUAUUAUAUGAAUAAGGAUCGGCUAACUCCGUGCCAGCAGCCGCGGUAAUAC